rnacentral:rRNA from 1 species
AUCUACGGUCUUGCCACCCUGAACGUGCCCGAUCUCGUCUGAUCUUGGAAGCUAAGCAGGGUCAGGCCUGGUUAGUACUUGGAUGGGAGACCACUGAGGAAUACCAUGUGCUGUAGGUG